UGCCCGGUGAAUUAAGGUUUUAACGGCUGCGGUAUCCUGACCGUGCAAAGGUAGCGUAAUCCAUUGCCUUUUAAUUGUAGGCUUGUAUGAAUGUAUUAACGAGGGAUAUGUUGUCUCAAUUUUCUUAGUAGAAAUUAAAUUUUAGGUGAAGAUGCCUAAAUUAAACCAAAAGACAAGAAGACCCUAUUGAGUUUUAUUUGAAGCUUUAGUGUUUAUUAACUACAUGUAUAGUAAAGAAAAAAGCUAAAAUUUGGUUGGGGAGACUAAAGAACUAGGUAAUCUUCUUUAAAAAUAAGAAGUUAAUUCUAAUGAUAUGAUCCUUUUUAGAUCUUAAGAAUAAAUUACCAUAGGGGUAACAGGCUUAUUUUUCCAGAGAGUUCAUAUUGACGGGAAAGAUUGGCACCUCGAUGUUGGCUUAGGAUAUCCUUUAAGUGCAGCAGCUUAAAAAGGUUGGUUUGUUCACCCAUUAAAAUCCUACGUGAUCUGAGUCAGACCGGA
rnacentral:rRNA from 1 species